UCUUCUGAUCUCGUGAUCCGCCUGCCUCGACCUCCCAAAGCGCUGGGAUUACAGGCGUGAGCCACCGCGCCCUGCCCCAAUGCAGCUUUUAAAGGGACGUGCAACCCCAGUUGCUUUCUGGGCGGCCUUAGCAGCAGAAGCACCUGCAGUCAGCGCCCACUAGGUGGAGACAGAGUCCCCGAGAUUCCGGCAGCAGCUUCACUCACUCCGGAACGCCAGGCUCCUGGGUCCCGGCUCCGAGGGCUCCUGUUCUAGAAAUAAACGUCCGGGACCCCAGCUCCCCUUCCAGACCAGCCAGAGUCUGUCCCCACUGAUAACUCACGUUUAUAGGGUCAUGGUGUUUAGAAGGCUGGUUCACAUCGUUCCUCUAGUCGGCUGCACACUCGUCCUGAGGAUGGGUGGACCAGGUAUUGCUGACCCCAGUCUUAUGGUUGAGGAAGUGGAGCCGUCGGGAGCCUUUGAGAUGCAGUGAAGGUCACGCGGUGCACAGCAGAGCUGGCCUCAAAUCUAGGUCCCCUCGACUGAAUCCCAGAUUCGACCACAUCUCAGCCGCCCCUCUUCUCUGGGGCGCAUGGCAGCCACCAGGCUAUUUGGCAUCAGAGUGGAGCCUGGAUGCAAGCUUGGUUCCUUGGGUCUGCAUGCUGCACCCUGAUGGGGCCCAUCUGGUCUUCAGAGAGCUGCUGUGCCCCAAGGCCAAGGCCCAGCUCUGCCUCAGGGGAUUUGAGGGCACUCAGAGAUGCAGGCAAGGACAGCGGUGUGUUUAUGGGCACUUCUGUACCCCAGAAUGGGAGAACCGGCGGGGCUUGACCACACGGGAGUCCUCUCCCCAGACAUCCCUGGGUGUGUGAGUGCUGGGGGGAAGUGGGGACUGGCGUCGAAGGUCUGACUUAGACCUGCUUGGUAAAGGCUGAGAAUGAAGGAAAGCCUGUAUUCCCAAAGUUGCCAGCAAAUUCUGGACAAGCAGGUGAAUGAGGCAGAAGAGCUGAGAGCAAAAAAGCAGUUUCAGUUCCACUUAGGGAAUGGCUUCCUUUCUUGUGGCAAGGGGUAGAAGUUAUGGGAACACACAACAGAAACUGUCAAACCUGGCUGGCUGGGGACAAGUGGGGUGGCCAUCUCCUCCAUGGACAGCAUGCCUGAGACACCACCUACCAGCUAUGGAGUCACAGCCUCAGUUUGCCCAUCUGUAAAAUGAGGCCAGCGCACGGCACCUCAUCCCACAAGUGAAGGCUGAACGGCAGCAUUCUGAGUGUGCUGUGAAUAGCUGAUUCCUCUGGUUGGUGAGCUGUUGUGUGUUGGGUGCUCCCACUCUGUCACAGAGUCAGAAUAAGAGGAGCCCCGUUGGGUGCCGGGGUAGCUAUGGCUGAAGCCAAUGAUUUCUCACGUCGUCUGGCCCUGGAGACUCAGUCAGGGUGGUGGGUAAUGGGCCCGGUGCCAGGCUGCAUCUCUGCACCCCGCCUCCCUAGGAAGACAUGAGGGAACGGGUGCAGCCAGCCGGUGUACAGUUGGGAGCGGCUGAACGCAGCGUGGCUUUGCUAUUAAUGUAGUCAGUAAAUAAAUAAAGGAGGGCUUAAGCUUAGUGUACAGCAAUCAGUUUAGAACUACAGGGUAAUUAGCGCUGCAGGGGGCCGCAGGGCUGCAGAGUCAGGUUUAAAUGAGCGAGUUCACUUUCACUGAGGCACCCCCUGGGGAGCAGAAAACGCAGCCUGGAGAGGAACCUGCCCUCCUGCCAGCCCACGAGUGGAAGUGGGGAUGGCGGCGGGGCUGGGCCUGAAACCACACAGAGAGCUGGGGGAUGGACCUGCCCCCAUGGGCCAAGGACCAGGUGUCUACAUGUGCACCCCCUCACCCCCUUUCCUGCCCCACAUCCUGCCCAGCAACACCCAGGCAGCUCCCAACUAUGAAGUGCCACUGCCCUGUUGCCUCCUGCUCCUUCUUCUGGCAUGUGGCAGACACGGGUCAGUCAGGUGGUCUAUGAAUCGACAUGAGCACACGUGUGGGGAUGCAGGAGUCCCCCACUGGGCCUCUGCCGCGUGUGUACACGUGUCCUGGGGAGGUGCCCGAGUGCGCAUGUGAUGUUCCUCCAUCCCUGCUUUCACUCGCCCCUGACAACUGCAACAUGCGCCCUGGAGUGCUAAUUACCUCUCUGUUUCCCUCCGUCUCCCUCUCCUUCUUUCAGCCAUUUAUACAACAAAGAUUUACCAGGUGCCUGUCAUGUGCCAGGCAGCGUGAGGCUCUGGGAACACAAAGAUAGACAGCACACAGUUCCUGACCUCAAGGAACUGACAGUCUGGUCGUGGUGACAGUGAAGGAAACAGAGUACUGAGGAGUCACCGGGGACUCUCAUCCAGGGAGCGACAUGAUACUAUUUGCAUUUCUGGAAAAUCGCUCUGGGCGGCAAACAAAGCAGAGGAUGGAAGCGAGAGAGAGGGCCUGGGCCGAGGCAGAGCACUGAGUCCCCACACAGAAAUCUUAAUUCCUCUACCGUGUUCCCCACACAAGAAAAGGCAAAAAGAAAAAAAAGACAAAAAAAACCAAGUACUUCAAUAAAAAGGUGGGACGCUUCAAGCGAGAGACAACUGAAUUAACUUUAUUCUCUUCUAACUGCAGAUUCAAGAAACACUGAAAUUACAAAGAAACGCGUCAAUCUACACGAAACGAAGGCAGAUGCGGAAAGCUGCAACCAGGACUGCACAACUUUGAGUGAAACUGCUUCGGAACUAGAACAGAUAAGGAGCGGCAAGCACAACUCGGGGAAGUGGGCUGGGGAGGGGCAGCAGGAGGCAGGAGAGAGGGAGAGAGAAUGGAGCCGACAGAAAUGAGAGGGGGAGCCAGAGGGAGGAGGGGAGGGCGGGAGGGGCAGACGGAGAGGGCAAGGGUGAGAGGUGGGGAGGAGAGAAAGAGAAAGAGAUUGAUUUGUACAAAAAAGUAACCAGUAAAAUUGAAGAAACAAAAUUGGGCAACCUCCUAAAAUUAGGCUAAGAGGAGGUGCUGAGGUAGACAUUAACUAGAACAUCGAUGAAUUAAAAACACUAUUAUGUAAUACAGAGCAAUCCGACUGGCACUUGUGCUGUCACGACAUAAGACAAGCCACGAAAACAAACAAAUAACAAAACAAAACAUAAUACCCAAACCAAAAGGCUUAGUUUUGCUUGGUCCAGCAGGGCAGCAGGGCCCUCAGUGCUAUAAUUUACAUACAUAUAUAUAUAUAUUUAUCUUUAUUUAUAUGGGUCGGAUGUCAUGGUGCACCACCACGGUUUCUUAACCUUACGAAGAUCAUGCAUAACACUAUGUGAACAAAUCCUAUGAUACACACCAGGAGGCUGGUACCCUGUCUGCGAAGUGGGAUGCCAAGGGCCCAGGGAGGCCGCAGCUGCUGGCUAACCGGCCUGCAGGGCCUGCACCCCUCUUUCUCCCUGCCUUCUUCCCCCGACCCAACCUCUCUGGUUUGUCCUGCGCCCCUCUCCUGGCCAUCUCUGCCUUUUUCCUCUCCCCAUCCGUCCCACCACAUAGGGUGAGUCUCGCUUUUCGUCCUCCCACUGAAAUAUCCAGGUAAGUGCCACCAUUACAGCCAAGUCGGCAGAGGCUCCAGAAAGGAGGAGGUAAGAUGGGAGGGGGAAAGAUGACCACAGGAUGGGCCUAGGAAAAGUGAAUGGACAGAGUCUAAUCUUCUGCUUUUCUGUCUCACAUCCUGGUGCACCCCCAGUUUUCACCCUAGCUCGGCUUGCCGGGAAACAGGCCCCAAAAUUACCCCGACCCUGCCACCCUUCAUGGACAGAGUCGAAAGGCUGCCCCACCUCUGCUCACUCCUCUAUAAGGAGGUAAGCUCAGCGGCCCUCUUCCGUCCACAGCGGUUGUACCAAUAGCAUCCAGAAAGGUACCAUACACUUGUGAAAAAUUGCAGCAGUUUUGUUUCUUUUUUUCUCAACAUGGAAAAACUGUUCAGGCACAAAGAUUAAACAAGCCCACGUUGCACCCCUUGGAUUGUACUGAAUCACUGGGUCCCCCAGCCUCCCUACCCACCCCUGCACCCCAGAUCUGCCUUCCCCAUAUUCAUGGCCUCCUCCUCCAAAGCAGCCCAAAGCAGCAAUGAUAUUUACUAUUUUAUAUCAAUCUCUUGCUCUAUAUAUAUAUCUAUAUAUCUAUAUAUUUGUCUAUCCUAUAUAUACAUAGGAUUUUAAUGCUUUGAAUGAGUGAAGGAGUGAACAGGGAAAGAGCACAUGAGUGGGGUGUAAAUGUCACCAAACGCAUUAAGGGACACACUUGUAGGAGCUGGACACAGGAAAGGGACUAUUAGCCAACGUGGCCUUGCCAGGCUGGAGAAGUUUUUCACUGUGCUGGAUAAGGCAGUAGCAAGCAGGGUUGCCAGCAGUGCCACAGCUAAAGGCAGCCAGGUGGCCAAAGGAGUCAGACGGCGCCAAGAGGAGGGGAGGACAGAUAUUCAGAUCCCACCUGGGGAGAGACCUCCCUCUACCCUUCUCCUCUCCCCUCAACUCCAGACACAUAUAAAGCCUCCAGACAGCCUCUUAGCUUGCCCCCGGCCACUAGGCCUUGCAACAUUAGAACUGUUCCGUUGUUGUGGGUAGGAAGUUGGAGAAGAGGCAUGUUAGACUCUAUUCAGGUGUCUUCACGGGGAGAGGAGGGUACAGCAAAUUCAGAGGUGUCCCCAAACAGUAGCCCUCAGAAACCACACUCCUCUGAGCUCUCCCCCUACCUCUCUACUGGGGUCUGCAGGGCCCAUCGGGUUGGGCGGGGCGUCCGGGUGCUGAUUUAGUACCAUCCAAUGCUGCAACACCAGAUUACGACAAUACUGCAUGAUUUAACACACAACCACACACACAAAGCACACACGCACACGCACACACAUGUACAAAGGGAUAUUUUGGUGGUGGUGGACUUUUUUUUGUCUUUUGUCUUCCUAUUCACAUUACAAAAGGAAAGGGCAAGGUUCUGCAGAACUGACGAAGGAACUAACAGAUACUACAAAAAUAUUACAAUUUGUAAAGAUUAGCUCAACCCUCUCAGCUUUUAUGAAUGGAGGGGGGAGGGGCCCAGGCUGAGUGGGAAGGGCAAGGGAGUGAGGGGGUAAGCUAGUUCUAUG